rnacentral:rRNA from 1 species
UGCAGUCGAACGGUAACAUGAGUAGCAAUACUUGAUGACGAGUGGCGCACGGGUGCGUAACGCGUAUGCAACUUACCUUCAACUGGAAGAUAGCCCCUCGAAAGAGGGAUUAAUAUUCCAUAAUUUUAUGAUUUGGCGUCAAAUUAUAAUUAAAGAUCAGUCGGUUGAAGAUAGGCAUGCGUGACAUUAGCUAGUUGGUGAGGUAACGGCUCACCAAGGCAACGAUGUCUAGGGGAUCUGAGAGGACUAACCCCCACACUGGUACUGAGACACGGACCAGACUCCUACGGGAGGCAGCAGUAAGGAAUAUUGGUCAAUGGAGGCAACUCUGAACCAGCCAUGCCGCGUGAAGGAUGAAGGCCCUAUGGGUUGUAAACUUCUUUUAUACGGGAAGAAACCUUCGAACGUGUUCGAGGCUGACGGUACUGUAGGAAUAAGGAUCGGCUAACUCCGUGCCAGCAGCCGCGGUAAUACGGAGGAUCCAAGCGUUAUCCGGAUUUAUUGGGUUUAAAGGGUGCGUAGGCGGAAUAGUAAGUCAGUGGUGAAAGCCUGUCGCUUAACGACAGAACUGCCAUUGAUACUGCUAAUCUUGAGUAUAAUUGAAGUGGGCGGAAUGUGUCGUGUAGCGGUGAAAUGCUUAGAUAUGACACAGAACACCGAUUGCGAAGGCAGCUCACUAAACUAUAACUGACGCUGAGGCACGAAAGCGUGGGGAUCAAACAGGAUUAGAUACCCUGGUAGUCCACGCUGUAAACUAUGAUUACUCGAUGUGUGCGAUAUACAGUACGCGUCUU